GUCGAAAUAACAUUGGCGGUUGGUUCUUCGCGCCAAAUUUGCAUGAUUGCAUCGUUCUGGUCCCGAAGUGUCAGUGGCAUUUUGUUAACGAGGAGCAGAGGAAGAUGUUGACUAAUGAGCAUGACGAGCAGCAGGAUGGCCAGGCAGAUGCAGAGGCCGAUGAGCCAUGGGAAGCGCCACUCCGUGCACUCCCGCAAGGGUGCUGACACUGCGAAGGCAGGAAAAAAAAGCGUGUUCUCACGUUAUCUGCAUCCAUUCUGGGAGACUGCGUGCAAGUAAGACGGCAUGGCUACAAUGGCAACGCUGCCUUCUUUGAACCGUGCUAGUCUGUUUUGCAUUUGAGGACACUUUGUAUUAUUACAUGACCACCCUCGUUACAGGCAUGUCUGCAAUAGUGCUAAUAAAACAUUUUAUAAAAAAAUU